rnacentral:lncRNA from 1 species
AACUUGUUCCUGAUCUUUCUCUCUUGCCCCUCUUUGCCUUGACACAAACACCUGGAAAUCCCUCAGGUCAGCCUUGCUGAGCCGAAGAUGUGGCACCACCUGUGCAGUGGAGGACAUGUUCAUCUUGUUAAUCAAACUUGUUUAUGACUUUGAUAUGUAGCCAGUCAUUGAAUUUCCUUCCUUUACAUUCAUGGUUCUGCCCCCUGAUCUCACUAUGAUAAUGUUGGGCACAGCCUUCCUUAAUACACACAGAAUGGGGCUCUUGAGCCCAAUAAGUGUCUGAACAGACUGGAUCUACCAGGGCAGAAUUCUAGGGACCGAACUUUCUGUGACACAGAGAUGGCUCUUCUUUUUUUUGAGGGUCUUAUUCUGUCACCCAGGCUGGAGUGCAGUGGCGCAAUGUUGACUCACCACAACCUCCGGCUCCUGGGUUCAAGCCAUUCUCCUACCUCAGCCCCCUGAAUAGCUGGGAUUACAGAUGCGCACCAUCCCCCAACUCCGGAUAACUGUGUGUGUGUGUGUGUGUGUGUGUGUGUGUGUGUGUGUGUGUAUUUUCAGUAGAGACGGUGUUUCACCAUGUUGGCCAGGCUGGUCUCAAACCCCUGACCUCAGGUGAUCUGCCCAUGUUGGCCUCCCAAAGUGCUGGGAUUACAGGCAUGAGCCACCAGGUCUGGCCAAGAUGGCUCAGUUUAAAAAACAUCUUAUGUGCCAGCUCUUAGCCAGAUGUUGUGAAGAGUAAUGCAUCAGGCAAGAUUUCUGCCCUCUAAAGUCUGGCUGAGGAGACAGAGGCAGAGGCAGGUUCCUUCUGUUUUUCUUGGUGAAUGCAGUGGUGAAGCUGUGGUGAAUGCAGUGGUGAAUGCAGUGGUGAAGCUGUGGUGAAUGCAGUGGUGAAGCUGUGGUGAAUGCAGUGGUGAAGCUGUGGUGAAUGCAGUGGUGAAUGCAGUGGUGAAGCUGUGGUGAAGCAGUGGUGAAUGCAGUGGUGAAUGCAGUGGUGAAUGCAGUGGUGAAGCUGUGGUGAAUGCAGUGGUGAAUGCAGUGGUGAAGCUGUGGUGAAUGCAGUGGUGAAUGCAGUGGUGAAUGCAGUGGUGAAUGCAGUGGUGAAGCUGUGGUGAAUGCAGUGGUGAAGCUGUGGUGAAUGCAGUGGUGAAUGCAUGGUGAAUGCAGUGGUGAAGCUGUGGUGAAUGCAGUGGUGAAUGCAGUGGUGAAUGCAGUGGUGAAGCUGUGGUGAAUGCAGUGGUGAAUGCAGUGGUGAAGCUGUGGUGGAUGCAGUGGUGAAUGCAGUGGUGAAGCUGUGCACAGGGCAUUAGGGACAUCAACAAUGGCUUUGACCUACAAAGCCCUGGGAGAAGACGCCUGGUGAAAUAGAGGCCUGAGCUUAGUACUGAGAGUUAAGGGAAAAAAAAAAAAAAAAA